rnacentral:rRNA from 1 species
GGACCCGCACAAGUAGUGGAGCAUGUGGUUUAAUUCGAAGAUACGCGCAGAACCUUACCAACACUUGACAUGUUCGUCGCGACUCUAAGAGAUUAGAGUUUUCGGUUCGGCCGGACGAAACACAGGUGCUGCAUGGCUGUCGUCAGCUCGUGUCGUGAGAUGUUGGGUUAAGUCGGAUAACGAGCGCAACCCUUACCCUUAUUUGCCAGCGAUUCGGUCGGGAAACUAUAAGGGGACUGCCGGUGAUAAAACCGGAGGAAGGUGAGGACGACGUCAAGUCAUCAUGGCCCUUACGAGUAGGGCUACACACGUGCUACAAUGGGAAUACAGAGGGCAGCUACCGGGUGACCGGAUGCG